AUCUCUGAGUUAGAGUAAACUGUCAAGAACUAAAACUUACUUACUUUACCUUUCACCAUGGGACUUGUAACCGUCACUUCUGUCUUGAGUGGUUAAAAGAUAGAACAGUCCCGUCAAGUGCCAUGUCUCUUAUUCUUGAUCAGCUAUAGCUCUGGAGUUUUUGCAGAUUUUCAAAUAAAACUCAGAGAUUCCUUUGUAUGACUCUCUCAUAUCUCUCUUUUGUGGUAUUUAUGGAUCCUUACCAAGGCAGUGAUGGUGUAUGCCUUCUCUCAAAAUAUGUGGUAUUUGUGGUAUAAGGCAUAGUGACAUUGCCUUCUCUCUCACCCUACUCUAAUAAGGCUUUAAUAUCUGGAGCUCAUAGGUGGAAGAUAAAGUAUACAUACUUACAAGACAUUUAUUGUAUAGUCAAACCAUGGAUCCAAAGAAACAAAUCAAUAAGCCAAAUCAAGAUGUGCAUGUGUGGCGAAUGAAUGGUGUAUAGUGAUGAUGGUGAUAACAAUGGUGAAAGUCUAAUUCUACUUUUGCUCUUAUGAGGGGAUACAUACCUUCCUCGCUUUUUGAAACUUUAUGAGGAGAAUGAGAUGCUCUUCUUUUUCUUUUCUCUCAGAUGGGUAUCCUGUACCCCUAAUUCUACUGUCGGACACUUGUCCAUUUUUACCUCUCGUCUCACUCUUUUUCUUUUCUUUCGAGGUUCCGGGCACUUGCCCCUUUUUAUUUCCUCGUUUAUUAUUUUUUUCUUUUCUUUUUUUCUUCUUCUUUUUUUUCAGAGCACUCAUCUCUUGGGAUAAUAUAGCAAGUGGUAGUAGCAAGAUAACUUGAGCAUUUAUUUCACAAGGGAAAAACACAGAUGUUUUUGACUAUUCUCUCCCGAAUUAGGAGUAGAAUAUUUUUAGGUGAUUCUGGAGAUGGAAAUGGAUGGAUAUAUGUGGAUGGUACUUCCGGAGUAGAAGUAGCAUAUAUAUGAGUGAACGUGCAAGUGAAUCUUGAUUUAACCACAUGACAAGCUCCUAAGGGUCUACACAGCUUGACCACACUCAAUGCUCAUAAGCAGUAAAUAAUAAAUGUGUGGCUCAAAGUCUAGCAAGCAUGUAUAUAUGGCUGUGGUAGGAAUUUAAACUUUCAUCAUACAGGAACUCAUCAUGCAAUAUUUUAAAGAUUUUUUAAAGAUAAAAUUCUCCAGAAUUCUAGCAUCUCUAGGAAUAGAUAAACAGCAGCUCAACCUUCCCAUAUCAUAUCCGUUAACAACUUAGAUUUCAGAUCAAGUUUUCAUCCCACAAGUUUAGAUCUAGAGCAAGCUUUAAAUUAUAACAGUUAUGUCUAAACUUGAGAGAGAACUUCAAAUUUACAAAUUAGGCAGAGCAACUAUUCAUCAUAUCCAUGCUAGAGUUUUAUUAUUAAGAUUCAUAGCAAACUUUAUUUAUUUAUUUAUUUAUUUAGCAAACUAAGAAAAGAUAUAUAUAUAUAUAUAUAUAUAUAUAUAUAUAAACAUAAAAUCUUUAUUUGGUUUUUCAUAGUUUAUGUAUUUUAAUAUUCUAAUAUAAUAUAAGUAUAAAGAUAGGUAGAAAUACUUAGCGAGAUAAAUAGGGGUGCUCUCCCCCAAGCUGAAUUUUGACGUAAUUUCUCUUGAUGUAGCUAGCAGGUGGCAGAGGUGUAUUUGAAAGUCAGCAGCAUUCUGACAGUGAUUAGAAUGUCCUCCGUCUGCUAGUCUUCUUGAUUCUUAAAUUCUGUGGAGCUCAAAUAGACAACACAGCUUGUGGAACUAAUUAAGUGUUAACAUAAAUAUCUAGCCUGCAUCACGUUGAGCUUCCUCAAUAAAUAUUACUCCCUAUUUUUAUAUUUUUAUUUUAUAAAGUAAAAAAGAAAUAUUUAUUUUAUUUUUAUGCCACCACAGUGAAGGUACUUAUGGGUUUUAUGCUACUCGUAUACUCACAUGGGGCUUAGUAUUUUUUUUAACAUUUUUAUUUUCUUUUCAAGAUAGCAUGAUUAACUAAUAAUCUAUUUAAGGCAAGUAAAUAAUUAAAGGGAAAAGGGAAUGCAGAAAGGAUAAAUAUGGAUAACUACCGAUCUUACCUUUCGGCGAGGGUUCAAUGUUUUAAGUCUUCUUGACAAGACUUCUCACCGUGUUCAUUCUUCAGGUGCGUCAUUUGAUUCAGGUGCGGACCUUGACGUCUGCACCUUUUAAUAUGGUGUCACCCAUGUUCUUCGUUUGCCCAGCAGUUCGAAGUAUGGCUCGUAGUGUACCUGCUCAUAGAGACAAGGCAGAGAUCAAGUGCAUGGGCCCUGUUGGUGGAAAACACCAACAGAACCAAAAGUGUAUUUGUUCUUCUCUAACCUUAAGCAUAGUGAGCAAGACAAGUUGAUGGACGAUAAGUUCAUGAGUGUAGCACUUAUAACAUUUGUCAGAUCAGAUUGCUCAACCUUAUGGAAAGAUAAUCUAUCUAUGUAUAUGUCUUUUUCUUUAUAUCUCUCAAUGAUUGAAUGUGUAACAUUUUAGCUCAUAUGAUUAGGAGUGUGGGAUCAUGGAGGUAGUACUAAGAACAAAGAUUAAAGGACUAAACAUGUUGAAUCAGUUGGGUUGGUUAAUCUAGAGUUGUAAAUCAUACACGUUUGUCUCUUUUAUUUAUAUGAACGCUAGAACCAAGGAGAAGCUUAUAAAAGUGAUAGUCAAGUACCUUAAGAUGUUACCUUGCUCGAAGAGUGAUGGUGCAGUAUCAUCUUGUGGAAGCUUUCCUUUCUUAGCGGUUGUGCAUCGUGUUUGUGGCACCCUCCAUGGAUCAUCUCUUUAUGAUGAAUGAACUAUGUCCUUCUUGUGCAAAUUGUUAAACUUCAUGUGUCACUCUCUUCGUCUCUGAUGUGAGUUUAUCUCAGGACUUCCCAAAUCGAUAUUGAAAGUUUUUCUGCAGGGGUUAGUCCGACAAAAUAUACCAAUAUCUACUCAAGCAGUUUUUUUUAGUUCAAUAACCAAACUAGACUCCAUGUCUAAUCGGAUUAAGGAAGGCUAUUUAACCUAAGCACCAUGCUUAAUUUAAAUGCCAAUGGAAGUAUGGUGAGUACUUCCAAACCAACACUUGCUAGUAAAUAGACAAAGGUAGCAUGACAACAUUUAUAGAGAUCUACUCAAGUGGAGAUGAAGUAGUGUGAUUAGUAUUUAACAAUUUGAGCAUGUCUCAAAGGUAGGGACAACCAGCAUAGCAACAUGGCAAAGGAUGUUUUUAUGUAAAGUACUCCCCCAAGCUUGAAUUUUGCAAAAUUCAAGUUUGGAUGAAUUUAAUUCAAUGUUGUAUGAUGAUUGGUUGGACAUACCUUGUGCUUGUCAUUCAUCCGAUCUUCUUGCUCCAAUCCUAGAAAGGUUAGUGACAAGAAUACCCGAAGGAAUAUUUUUUUUACAAUUAUCCUUAUAUGCUCAAUACACAAGGUAAUGUUGCAAAUAAUUAAAAGCUCAUGUUACGAUCUGAUCAAUGCUUAUUUUAAGACACUAAGCUUGUCCUUGGGAAACCAUCAGUUUAUGUUGGCGAAGUGGUUUCCCCUCCGACGCCAACCUAUAUCUAGAUCAACUCAACGAGAUCUGCAAUAUUUAUUAUAGACAUAUGCAUCGACAACCGCCCUUUUAAAGUUUUUAUAAAUAGAAAGGAAGAGGGGGUUGGAGAUCUCAAGUGUGGUGAUGUCGGAGAGACCAAUAGAUUGGGAAGAUGUUGCAUAUGAGCAUGGAGUAAACGACGUGGCUAUGAAAUAAAUUCCAUGCUCAUUAAUGUUAUCUUCGUCUCCAAUCUGAAUGUUCAGAGUUUCUCUUGGAUUGGUCUCACUUAUGUCCUCUUCUAUAGUUGGAUGAAUCUCAUCUUCAAAGGGAGUCAAGAACUCACCAUUUGAAAUUGAGCCAAAGUUAGAACCCAUUAAGGCUUCUUCCUUAUCCAUCCAUUCUACACAUUCUAGCCAUUUAGAACUUGUGAUCAAAAUAGGGGAGGUGUUAGAAUUUUCUAUAUGGCUUAGCUUUCCUUCUAUGGCAUUACUUGACAUGCCAUCCUUAUGGUCUUCAUGACUCCUAUGGUUUGGUCGUCUUGGUGAAUUGCUAGGAUCAUCAUGAGACUGAAAAGGAGACGGAUAAGAGGGAUCUCUAAGGUCAAGGAUGGAUUUAGAGCUUGUGAACAUGGAAGGGGAGUAGAUAGAAUUGUUUAUAUGGCUUAGCUCUCCUUCACUUGAUAUGUCAUCCUCGACUUCUUCAUGAUAGGAACCAGGACAUUCUCUAAGAGAAACAUUAUUGCAAUGAUUUGAAUUAUCCCUGCUUGAAGGUCUCUUAUAGAACCAGAAGUCUAAACCAUCAGCAUCUAAAAGAUUUAAGGUCGGAAUUCCUUCCUCCCUUGGAGAAUUUUGGGGUAUUGAUGGUUUAGGAUCGAGAGCUAAAGUUUGGGAUUGAAGUGGUUGUGAUCUGGCUAUCGAAACUUCUUCUACUUGUCUAGGAACUGGUUCUUUCUCUUUCUCAGGGAUAUAAAAGCUAGGAGACUUUCCGCUCAUUAAAUCAAUCAAAUUCCAAGCUUCACUAGCGGAUAGGUGGUGGAAAGAUCCUCCAGAGGCCGCAUGAAGGGUUUGCUUAUUUUUCCUACUAAGGCCCUCAAAAAAGUGAAUUAGAAGAACUUCUUCUGGAAUAGAAAGUUUUGGGCCAGUGAGAGUAAGGUUAAUAAAGCGGUCCCAUGAUUUGCCAAGAGAUUCUUCUUCCAGUUGUCUAAAAGAAAGAAUCUCACGCCGAAGUUCCACCACUUUGGAGAUUGGAAAAUAUUUAGAAAGAAAACUACUAUAUAACUCCUUCCAAUCUCCAUGAACACUCCCUACUUUGAGUUUAUACCAAUGUCUAGCUUUUUUCCUGUUAAAGAGAACGGAAAGAGCUUCCAUUUAAGGGUCUCAUCGGACAUGCCUUCUAUGCGAAGGAGGUCACAGACUCGAUAAAACUCUCUUAGGUGUGUGUAUGGGUUUUCGUCACCUUCUCCUGAGAAAGGUUGUUUUUGAAUAAAUUCUAUGUAUUCGGGGUCUAUCUCAAAACUAGAUGCUAUGAUAGGCUUUGAAGAUUUUGGUGGUUCGAGAUGUGUGCCCAUAGGUCUAUGAAAUUCAUAGAUAGACAUGUUUGAAUUCAUAAUAGACCAGAGAUCAAGGAUUAGAUAAGAAGAAAGAAUAGCAGAGAUGAGGCAAAGGAUAAAAGGAAAAUAUUUUUUUUGUUAUAUAUAUAUUUUUGUUUUAUAAAAUGAUUAAACUAGUUCGUAGUCAACUCAGCAACCGUUUCCCCGGCAACGGCGCCAAAAAUGCUUGUUGACACUUGCUAACACCACUUGAAUACUAGGUUGUCAUCCCCAGCAUGGCACUAGAGUGUACUAUGGUAUUUAUACACACACAGAUAAUCCGCAAGCGCACGGAUACCGUUGAAGCUUUUACCCGGUUAAAGGUUUUAUCAUAUCCACAGGGAAACAGGAGAACUGAUCUACGCUCUAACUUAACCAAGAUAAGUAAAUAGGUGUGAAUAGGAAAGAUGGUAGAAUCGAAUAAGAACAAUAUUAAAGGUAAGAUAAAAGUGAGUGAUAAUAUGGGGAUAGAGAGUAGAGCAAUUCUAGUAUAUGGGCGAUGGUAGCAGAAUAGAGAGGAUAACUAUGGUUUCUCUACUUCAAAAGGGUAUGUCUAUGUCUGGGACGAACCACGUGAUAAGCGUACACCACAAAGGAUGCUUAUCCAUAGGCCGAUAAACCCUACCCGUCCUGCUAACGAGAGGUGGACUACAGGGGACCAACGUAACUGUCACCUACGCGGCCUACCACACGAUCCAGCUAGUCAGGGGAUAUCCACAAGUAAUCUAGGUCUAAGCACCACGCUUACACCUGUACUACAACUCUAACCUAUAGGGUCCUAUAGAUUAGAAGUACUCAAAAGAGCUGUGAACCAGAACAUACAUGAUUAGUAAUUGCAUAAUGAAUUAGAAGUAGAUUACCAGAGUCAUCCCAUGAGUAAGCUUGAUUAGAGCUUGAUCAUGGCGAAGUACAACCGGAGGAAGAACCGACAGGCCAGCCUCUCCUCGAAUCCUCCUUCGCUCUCCAUCUCGCUACUAUCUAGAUCUACUCUAGUUUAGAGAAGAGAGGAGAGCUCUCAUCUCUAAACCCUAGCUUUUGCUCUGUCUAUGAAUAAUGAAUAAUGAUCAAGGGGUGCCUCCUCCAGGGGCCAGAGGGUCUGGUUUUAUAGUCCCCUCAAGUGAACCUGGGCCGUCGGAUCAAACCGACAUUGAUUGAACGGUUAUUCUUGAUCCUUUAGGUCGGUGGAGCAUAAUCUGCGAGAUUGAGCGUGAUUGGCCAGAGGAGGUGGGCGGGCGCCCAGUAGGACAGGGCGGGCGCCCUAUCUCUGGCCCCGUUUCGCCUCCGCUUCGGUCUCGUGGCUUCUGGAGUCUUCUAGAUGUAAGAUAAUUGUGCGGCACGUUAAUAUCUUUACGUAAUCCCGACGUGUGGGCCUUUCUUCCUUAUUUCCUGAUAACCCCCUGCAGAAAUAGACAAACACCAAAACUCGUGGAAUUCUGUCAGAUAAAACCCUAAGUCUAGAUGUUGAUUUCAUUUGGAUCCUUUUCUUUGUUUAUUUGAUAGUUAAAUUUGAUACUUAAGGACCGUCAACACUUGUCAACCCCUCUGGACACCAUAGUGGAAGUUGUGGUUGCCUCACCGAUUGAUGAUAGUUUUCCCUUGAUUCCACCCGAUAAGUAUUAGCAUCCCUGCAAAAUAUGAACUCAUCGAGAACUCGUGCAUCCGCCAUCUCCUCAAGUUCCUCUUGGUUUCUGGGAAACUAACUGAUGUUGACGGUCCUUAAGUAUCAAAUUUAAUUAUCAAAUAAAUAAAGAAAAGGAUCCAAAUGAAAUCAACAUCUAGACUUAGGGUUUUAUCUGAUAGAAUUCCACGAGUUUUGGUGAUUGUCUAUUUCUGCAGGGGGUUAUCAGGAAAUACAGAAGAAAGGCCCACAUGUCGGGAUUACAUAGAGAUAUUAACGUGCCGCACAAUUAUCUUACAUCUAGAAGACUCCAGAAGCCACGGGAAGAAAGCGGAGGCCGAACGGGGCUAGAGGCAGGGCGCCCGCCCUGUUUCCCUAGGCGCCCGCCCCCUCUGAGAGUCCAAUCAGGACUCUGUUUCGUGGGAGAUCUCCACCGACCUAAAGGAUCAAGGAUAACCGUUCAAUCUAAGUCGGUUUGAUCCAACGGCCUAUAUUCACUUGAAGGGACUAUAAAACCAGACCCCCUGGCCCCUGGAGGAGAGAGCCUCUCAACCCUAAUUCAUUAUUCUCAAGGGAGAAGAAGCCUCUGAUCAAGAUUAGAGCCACCACAUGAAUUAGAUAUCUAGAUUAGCAUAGCUACAUAGGAUUAGAACUAGAAGGAGUCAAUCUUAGAUUGGUUUCCGGAUCUGUCAAGAGGAUUCUUGGUAAUUCUCUAAUUGUGCUUCUAAUUGUUCUUCUAAUUAUCUUUGUUCUUCAAUAUUAUGAAUAUGACUUUGUUCUACUUCAAUAUAUUGCUUAUGACUUUGCUCUACUUGCUUAUAUUCAAGAUUAUAUUGUUCUUAGUUUAUCAUAGUUAUGUACUUGGCUUAGUUAGAUUGGAUCUAUAUACAUGCUUAGGAUCAUAUAGCGUUUAUCCAUCGGAUCCAUGGGUAAAUGAUAGAUAUUGUGUAGGCGUGGUGCUUAUACCGUAUUUAUCUGCGAUUGUACCCAAUAUGCCAGAUCGUGGGGUAGUUCGUGAUAGUGACAGCUUCAUUGAUUCUUAUAUAGUCCUCCUCUCGUGUAUUGGGCUGGCAGAGCAAUAUUAUUAUAGGGGAGUGAUUGCUAUGUUUCUCAUUUACCUUGCUAAUAUCACUAUGCAUGGGCGUAGUCUUAUCUUGCAAUGAUUGCUAAGUUUGCUUGCACUAAUUAUGAUAAUGCUAGACUAUAUAGUUGAGAAUAACUUAGGGAAUAUUCUUGUAGUUCGUUCUAAUACCACGCUAAUGACUUUCUAGAAUAUCUAAUUAAGGUGCUUAUCAUAUUUAUAUGUGGCUGAUCAGAUUAAUUAUCUUCGUCACUAUUCAUUACUUCAUAUAUCUUUUAUGUGACACUUAUCCCUGUAUGAAAGAGUUAGAUAAUUGUUCUCAAUUAUACAUGCAAUGAUAGAUACUCAAUCUCAUAUUCUAUUCUGUAAUCAAUAUUGAUGAUUGCUAAUCCCUUCCCAGUGGUAAAAAUAUAAAUAACGAUACCUGGAAUACUUCCCGGUUAAAAUGCUACAUCGGUAUUAAUCUGUGCGCUUGCAGAUCUCAUUCAUUAUUUAUUUAGAAGAGCAAUUGCAUAUUUCAAUACCGCGUCUCUCAUAUCAUGCUGGGGAUGACAACUUGGCUUAAGUGGUAUGAGGGAUAGGUUUGGCAUUUUUGGCACCGUUACUAGAAUUAGAAAACUGUCUACUUUUGGUAGUGAUGUUAAGAAUACCCAACAAGCACUUUUGGCGCCGUUGCCGGGGAAGGUUGAUUACUAAUCACGAAUGGAAUAAAAGAUUUUGAGUUAUCAUUCGCAUCACUAAUAUGAUUGAGCUUAUCUAUUCUCUCAUACAGUUUUACCCCGAUAUUUUUCUAUUUUAUCUUAUGCAGGGGAAUGUAUGAAUAGAAGACAUCUUCCAAGAAAUUUUGUUGACAAUCCUGAAGCGUUAUUCAGAAGAACUAGAGCCAAGCUCAAGAGGAGAUCAUCAACACUUCAGCAAGAAGCUUCAUCCAAUCAAGAAGAUCACCGGAACUUGUCUUCAGAGUUCGAAGCCAUGGCGAACAAAUCAAUCCGCGAGUUCUCAGCUCCCACUACGGACAACAUCCGCACUGGACCUGCUGCAGAGAUCGAUGGCAACUUUGAGCUCAAGCCUGGACUUAUCAACAUGGUGCAAUCCAACCAGUUCUGUGGGAAGGCACACAAAGAUGCUAGUGCUCAUCUCCAACACUUCCAGGAGAUUUGCAACACAUUUACCAUAUCAGGAGUCCCCAGAGAUGCUAUACUACCUCGCCUAUUCCCAUUCUCACUGUUAGGAAGAGCGAAGCAGUGGUUCUACUCUACAAAGGAGAAGAAUACUACGUGGGCACUCUGCUCAACAAACUUCCUGGCUAAGUUCUUUCCUAUGGGCAAGACCAAUGCUCUCCAUGGGAAGAUUACAAGUUUUCAGCAACAAAAUGAUGAAUCUGUUCCAGAAGCAUGGGAGCGCUUUCAAGACUACAUCCUAGAAUGUCCCCAUCAUGGAAUGGAGAGUUGGCUACUAAUGCAGACGUUUUAUCAUGGGCUCGGCAACAGUGCCCGAGAGACCAUGGAUGCUGCAGCUGGAGGAGCAUUCCUAUCACUUACCAUAUCACAAGCCACAGCUCUUGUGGAGAAGAUGGCGUCCAAUCAAAGCUUGAAUGAAGAGAGGACCCAGACACGCAAGAAAGGUGGAGGUAUGCAUCAGCUCAAGGAUAGACAUGCUGUCUGCAAAGCUAGACCUCCUCAUCAAGAAGCUCGACGAUAGAGCUGGAGAUAAGAAGGAAGUUAUGCACAUCUAUGACUCUCACAUGAUUUGUGAGGAGUGUGGAGAUACUGGACACUCAGGCAAUCACUGCCCUGAGAUACUUGAGGAUGUGAACUACAUCAACAAUAACAACAACUACUACUACAACCGUCCUCAACAAAAUCAAGGUUGGAAUCAACAGAGGCCUAACUACUCAGGUAAUUAUCAAGGUAAUAAUUCUUACAACAAUACUAACAAUUUUCCAACUUUGAGAGAGUUAAUGUCUAAUUAAGGAAAGCUAAUGGAUAACCUAUCUAAGAAAUUGGCAUCUAAUGAUAAAAUGCUAGAAAAUAUAAAUAAUAGAAUGGAUAAUUUCUCUACUGCCAUCAAGAAUCAAAUUACCUUUAAUAAAAUGAUUGAAUCUCAGUUAAAUCAAAUAGCUACUACUGUUCAUGGGGUAAACCAUAAAGAUAAUGAUAAUGAAUUAUAAGUUCAUGGGUAAAUAACACAACGAUUAGAAAAUAGACUACUCCUCAUAUAUGUAGGUGACGUCGGAUUAGCUAGAGAAUGGAUUCUAAGUUAUCAACUAUCUACUAAGUCACAAUCUACUCUAGUUAUCUACAAGAUCAUGUAUAGCAUAAAAGACUCUUCAUUCAUCUAUAAGGAACAUUGCUAAUGUAAAUCAGAACAUCGUAAGACUUACUCCGCAAUACAAGUUCUGCCUGUCCUAUCGACGGAGGGUGGACUAUAUAAGAAUCAGCGAAGCUGUCACUAUCGCGAACUACCACACGACCCGGCCAAUAGGAUACGUUUGCAGGUAAAUAACAUCUAAGCACCACGCCCACAUGUGAUCUACCACUUAACUCCCUCGAGUCAAGAGCUAAGCGCUUUGCAAACAUAUACAUAAACACAUUAUCAAUCAUAACUAUAUCAAAUAUAGAACUAGAGCAAACUAAGAGCAUAAUAAAUAGAGACAUAAUGCAAUUAGAACACAAUAUUAGAGAAAGAUAUGAAUAAUACCAAUCUUUAUUACCGAAGAUCUGAAUCCAGAGCGUAGUGCUCUACUUCUCUAAUUGCUAUCUAAUCAAUCCUCUAAACUUGAAGGAUUAGGGAGUAGCUAAUUCUAAUUCUCUGUGGGAGAGAAGUUCUAGACCCUAACUUUGAUGGCUACCUCUAAUAAUGAUUUCUCCUCUUCUCUUCUCUCCCCUAGGGGUGGAGAGGCCUUGGUUAUAUAGUCCUUUCAAGUGAAUUUGGGCCGUCGGAUCAAACCGACAUUGAUCGCACGGUUUUCCUUGAUCCUUUAGGUCGGUGGAGCACGAUCCAAGAGUUCGGUUCGGAUUGGGCCCGAGACCUGGGCGGGCGCCCAAGGGGGGAGGGCGGGCGCCCUGCCCCCGAGCCCGUCCGGUCUCCCGUUUGUUCCCGUGGCUUCUGGACUCUUCUAGAUUGAGGAAAAUUGUGCGGCACGUAAUUAUCUCGUUGUAAACAUGACAUGUGGGCCUUCUCUCCAUAUUUUCUGAUAACCCCCUGCAGAAAUAGAUAAACACCAAAGCUCGUGGAAUUCUGUCAGAUAAAACCCUAAUUCUAGAUGUUUGGUGCAUAUUGAUCCUUUUCCAUGUUUAGUUGAUGGUUAAAUUUAGUACUUAAGGACCGUCAACAGCACCCUUAACUCAUCUCUAUUAGCAGCCUCCCCACAUUGGAUGAUGAACCUGUUAACAUGCUCCAUGGUUGACGUGUCAUCCUGUCUAGAGAACUUGGUGAAAUACGAUACCUUGUACCGAUUUGGAAGUGGAAUUAAGUCAUAUGCAGGAGGAUAUGGUGUCUGAUAAGAAUAAGUAUUAACUUUGGGUUUUAUCCCAAACUGAUCUCUCAUCACCUCAGCUAUUUUAUCGACCCAAUAGGCAUCAGCAUCCUACCGAUGGGCGGGUUGUGGAUCCGGCACCUACUGAUAAGCUUCCACGUGUCUCUGCGGUGCACGAUCUCCAGGGAAUAUGGCAUUAGCCACUGCCUGUUGACCACCAAAUUGCUGAGCAAGAUUCAUCGGCUGGUUGAUCAAUCCUUGAUUCUGAAACCCAGGUUGCAUCGGUCCGUGCUGAAAUCCCAUAACCUGAUGAUUCUGUUGAGGCAUUUGUGGAAGCACAAACGGCCCUGUCCAUCCACUGUUAGCAUUCAUCGGCGUAGGCCCUGCUGAUGACUGGUAGUUGGGCAUCAUCAUUGAAUUGACAUACCCAGGCUGUGUCAAAAACCUUUGAUGCGUCAGCAUUGGAUCUACCGAUGCGUUAGGCAUCUCGAACGUUGGCAUUUGAGAAUUCCCAAUAAAGGGUCUUGCAGUGGUAGUUGUGGAAUAAUGAGGAUUCUGAGUCAUCGCGAUACUGGGGGUGUCGAUGCCAUAGGAGCCUUGCCUGUCGUGUCAGCCACUUGAGACAUCCCAGAACUAUUUGCUAUAAAUUCUGGGGGCAUACCAUAACCCCACCAGUUGGGAGGAACUUGACAAUUCUUAAACACAGAUCCUGACAUUGCUGUUGACACUUGCUAACACCACUUGAAUACUAGGUUGUCAUCCCCAGCAUGGCACUAGAGUGUACUAUGGUAUUUAUACGCACACAGAUAAUCCGCAAGCGCACGGAUACCGUUGAAGCUUUUACCCGGUUAAAGGUUUUAUCGUAUCCACAGGGAAACGGGAGAACUGAUCUACGCUCUAACUUAACCAAGAUAAGUAAAUAGGUGUGAAUAGGAAAGAUGGUAGAAUCGAAUAAGAACAAUAUUAAAGGUAAGAUAACAAUGAGUGAUAAUAUGGGAAUAGAGAGUAGAGCAAUUCUAGUAUAUGGGCGAUGGUAGCAGAAUAGAGAGAAUAACUAUGGUUUCUCUACUUCAAAGGGGUAUGUCUAUGUCUGGGACGAACCACGUGAUAAGAUUACACCACAAAGGAUGCUUAUCCAUAGGCCGAUAAACCCUACCCGUCCUGCUAACGAGAGGUGGACUACAGGGGACCAACGUAACUGUCACCUACGCGGCCUACCACACGAUCUAGCUAGUCAGGGGAUAUCCACAAGUAAUCUAGGUCUAAGCACCACGCUUACACCUAUACUACAACUCUAACCUAUAGGGUCCUAUAGAUUAGAAGUACUCAAAAGAGUUGUGAACCAGAACAUACAUGAUUAGUAAUUGCAUAAUGAAUUAGAAGUAGAUUACCAGAGUCAUCCCAUGAGCAAGCUUGAUUAGAGCUUGAUCAUGGCGAAGUACAACCGGAGGAAGAACCGACAGGCCGGCCUCUCCUCUAAUCCUCCUUCGCUCUCCAUCUCGCUACUAUCUAGAUCUACUCUAGUUUAGAGAAGAGAGGAGAGCUCUCAUCUCUAAACCCUAGCUUUUGCUCUCUCUAUGAAUAAUGAAUAAUGAUCAAGGGGUGUCUCCUCCAGGGGCCAGGGGGUCUGGUUUUAUAGUCCCCUCAAGUGAACCUGGGCCGUCGGAUCAAACCGACAUUGAUUGAACGGUUAUUCUUGAUCCUUUAGGUCGGUGGAGCAUAAUCCGCGAGAUUGAGCGUGAUUGGCCACAGGAGGUGGGCGGGCGCCCAGUUGGACAGGGCGGGCGCCCUGUCUUUGGCCCCGUUUCGCCUCCGCUUCGGUCUCGUGGCUUCUGGAGUCUUCUAGAUGUAAGAUAAUUGCGCAGCACGUUAAUAUCUUUACGUAAUCCCGACGUGUGGGCCUCUCUUCCUUAUUUCCUGAUAACCCCCUGCAGAAAUAGACAAACACCAAAACUCGUGGAAUUCUGUCAGAUAAAACCCUAAGUCUCGAUGUUGAUUUCAUUUGGAUCCUUUUCUUUGUUUAUUUGAUAGUUACAUUUGAUACUUAAGGACCGUCAACAAACUCCCCCAAGCUUACCUCUUGCUCGUCCCUGAGCAAGGAUAGACUUAGCUAUGGAUCAUAAGUUGUUGCAAUAUCUUUAAAAAUUAACGGUACACAUGCUUUUAAAUGAGGUCUCAUCUCUGAGUUAGAGUAAACUGUCAAGACUUAAAACUUACUUACUUUACCUUUCACCAUGGGACUUGUAACCGUCACUUCUGUCUUGAGUGGUUAAAAGAUAGAACAGUCCAGUCAAGUGCCAUGUCUCUUAUUCUUGAUCAGCUAUAGCUCUGGAGUUUUUGUAGAUUUUCAAAUAAAACUCAGAGAUUCCUUGUAUGAUUCUCUAAAUCUCUCUUUUGUGGUAUUUCUGGAUCCUAACCAAGGCAGUGAUGGUAUAUGCCUUCUGUCAAGAUAUGUGGUAUUUGUGGUAUAUGGCAUAGUGACAUUGCCUUCUCUCUCACCCUACUCUAAUAAGGCUUUAAUAUCUGGAGCUCAUAGGUGGGAGAUAAAGUAUACAUACUUACAAGACAUUUAUUGUAUAGUCAAACCAUGGAUCCAAAUAAACAAAUCAAUAAGCCAAAUCAAGAUGUGCAUGUUUGGCGAAUGAAUGGUGUAUGGUGAUGAUGAUGAUAACAAUGGUGAAAGUCUAAUUCUACUUUUGCUCUUUUGAGGGGAUACAUACCUUCCUUGCUUUUUGAAACUUUAUGAGGAGAAUGAGAUGCUCUUCUUUUUCUUUUCUCUCAGAUGGGUAUCCUGUACCCCUAAUUCUACUGUCGGACACUUGUCCAUUUUUACCUCUCGUAUCACUCUUUUUCUUUUCUUUCAAGGUUCCGGGCACUUGCCCCUUUUUAUUUCCUCGUUUAUUUAUCUUUUUUUUUCUUUUUUUUCAGAGCACUCAUCUCUUGAGAUAAUAUAGCAAGUGGUAGUAGCAAGAUAACUUGAGCAUUUAUUUCACAAGGGAAAAACACAGAUGUUUUUGGCUAUUCUCUCCUGAAUUAGGAGUAGAAUAUUUUUAGGUGAUUCUGGAGAUGGAAAUGGAUGGAUAUAUGUGGAUGGUACUUCCGGAGUAGAAGUAGCAUAUAUAUGAGUGAAUGUGCAAGUGAAUCUUGAUUUAACCACAUGACAAGCUCCUAAGGGUCUACACAGCUUGACCACACUCAAUGCUCAUAAGCAGUAAAUAGUAAAUGUGUGGCUCAAAGUCUAGCAAGCAUGUAUAUAUGGCUGUGGUAGGAAUUUAAACUCUCAUCAUACAGGAACUCAUCAUGCAAUAUUUUAAAGAUUUUUCAAAGAUAAAAUUCUCCAAAAUUCUAGCAUCUCUAGGAACAGAUAAACAGCAGCUCAACCUUCCCAUAUCAUAUCCAUUAACAACUUAGAUUUCAGAUCAAGUUUUCAUCCCACAAGUUUAGAUCUAGAGCAAGCUUUAAAUUAUAACAGUUAUGUCUAAACUUGAGAGAGAACUUCAAAUUUGCAAAUUAGGCAGAGCAACUAUUCAUCAUAUC
rnacentral:lncRNA from 1 species